rnacentral:rRNA from 1 species
AUGGGUGACCUACCUUUGGGUUCGGGAUAGCCAUCAGAGAUGGUGGGUAAUACCGGAUGACGUCGUGAGACCAAAGAUUCAUCGCCCUCAGAGGGGCCCAUGUGAUAUUAGCUAGUUGGUGAGGUAACGGCUCACCAAGGCGAAGAUGUCUAGCGGGUGUGAGAGCACGACCCGCGCCACUCGCACUGAGACACUGGCGAGACACCUACGGGUGGCUGCAGUCGAGGAUCUUCGGCAAUGGGCGCAAGCCUGACCGAGCGACGCCGCGUGAGCGAUGAAGGCCUUCGGGUUGUAAAGCUCUUUAGUGGGGGAGAAAAGCCGCAAGGUGUGAUCUAUCCCAAAAAUAAGCACGGGCUAAGUUCGUGCCAGCAGCCGCGGUAAGACGAACCGUGCGAACGUUGUUCGGAAUCACUGGGCUUAAAGGGCGCGUAGGCGGGCUGUCAAGUCUGGGGUGAAAUCCCGCGGCUCAACCGUGGAACUGCCUCAGAUACUGACGGCCUC